rnacentral:rRNA from 1 species
UACGGGGGGAGCAAGCGUUGUUCGGAUUUACUGGGCGUAAAGGGCGCGUAGGCGGCCACCGCAAGUCGGUUGUGAAAUCUCCGGGCUUAACCCGGAAAGGUCAACUGAUACUGCGGGGCUAGAGUGCAGAAGGGGCAACUGGAAUUCUCGGUGUAGCGGUGAAAUGCGCAGAUAUCAGGAGGAACACCGGUGGCGAAGGCGGGUCUCUGGGCAACAACUGACGCUGAGGAGCGAAAGCGUGGGGAGCGAACAGG